rnacentral:rRNA from 1 species
ACGGGAGGCAGCAGUGGGGAAUAUUGGACAAUGGGGGAAACCCUGAUCCAGCGACGCCGCGUGAGUGAAGAAGUAUUUCGGUAUGUAAAGCUCUAUCAGCAAGGAAGAAAAUGACGGUACUUGACUAAGAAGCCCCGGCUAACUACGUGCCAGCAGCCGCGGUAAUACGUAGGGGGCAAGCGUUAUCCGGAUUUACUGGGUGUAAAGGGAGUGUAGGCGGCUGUGCAAGUCAGAAGUGAAAGCCCGGGGCUUAACCCCGGGACUGCUUUUGAAACUGCAUAGCUCGAGUGCAGGAGAGGUAAGCGGAAUUCCUAGUGUAGCGGUGAAAUGCGUAGAUAUUAGGAGGAACACCAGUGGCGAAGGCGGCUUACUGGACGAUAACUGACGUUGAGGCUCGAAAGCGUGGGGAGCAAACAGGAUUAGAUACCCUGGUA